UAUAAGACUUUAACUAGAUGGUGGGAUUAAUCUGAUAAAGAAUAGCGCGCCCAAUACAUACGGAGACUCAUCCCAGAUUGGUAGUAUAGGAAAACUCACCCUGUAUGCUUACAGUCUUCCAAUUAUACAUUCGUAAUAUACAGCUCGAUAUGUGAACCAAAUAUUUCUAUAUUUCUGAAUUUUAUACUCACAGAAGUUGCUUUGCAUAUUUUAGCAUUUCUUGCAAAUAGGUUAAAUUCUCAAAAUUGCCUAUUGGACCCGAAACAGGAAAUGGAUCUUAUUCGCACAAUUCCUGUUGUUAUCGAAUGGACUUUAGAUUCUUCGACAGAUGAGUCAAGCGACGAAGAUCUUACAAUUUCUCUUAGCUUCUUCUAAAAGUUUUGUAGCAUAGACAGUAUCUGUAAAG